CAAGUCGAGCGGAUCUUCUCCUUCGGGAGAAGGUUAGCGGCGGACGGGUGAGUAACACGUAGGCAACCUGCCCUCAAGACCGGGAUAACAUUCGGAAACGAAUGCUAAGACCGGAUACGCAAGUCUGAGGCAUCUCGGGCUUGGGAAACACGGCGCAAGCUGUGGCUUGUGGAUGGGCCUGCGGCGCAUUAGCUAGUUGGUGGGGUAACGGCUCACCAAGGCGACGAUGCGUAGCCGACCUGAGAGGGUGAACGGCCACACUGGGACCGAGACACGGCCCAGACUCCUACGGGAGGCAGCAGUAGGGAAUCUUCCACAAUGGGCGCAAGCCUGAUGGAGCAACGCCGCGUGAGUGGGGAAGGCCUUCGGGUCGUAAAGCUCUGUUGCCAGGGAAGAAUAAGAGCCAGUUAACUGCUGGUUCGAUGACGGUACCUGAGAAGAAAGCCCCGGCUAACUACGUGCCAGCAGCCGCGGUAAUACGUAGGGGGCAAGCGUUGUCCGGAAUUAUUGGGCGUAAAGCGCGCGCAGGCGGUCUUUUAAGUCUGGUGUUUAAGUGCGGGGCUCAACCCCGUGACGCACUGGAAACUGGGAGACUUGAGUGCAGAAGAGGAGAGCGGAAUUCCACGUGUAGCGGUGAAAUGCGUAGAGAUGUGGAGGAACACCAGUGGCGAAGGCGGCUCUCUGGACUGUAACUGACGCUGAGGCGCGAAAGCGUGGGGAGCAAACAGGAUUAGAUACCCUGGUAGUCCACGCCGUAAACGAUGAGUGCUAGGUGUUUGGGGGGGGUCCACCCCUCGGUGCCGAAGUUAACACAUUAAGCACUCCGCCUGGGGAGUACGGU
rnacentral:rRNA from 1 species